rnacentral:rRNA from 1 species
UACGAAGGGGGCUAGCGUUGCUCGGAAUUACUGGGCGUAAAGGGCGCGUAGGCGGGUGUUUAAGUCAGAGGUUAAAUCCCAGGGCUCAACCCUGGAACUGCCUUUGAUACUGGGCACCUAGAGUUCGGGAGAGGUGUGUGGAACUCCGAGUGUAGAGGUGAAAUUCGUAGAUAUUCGGAAGAACACCAGUGGCGAAGGCGACACACUGGCCCGAUACUGACGCUGAGGCGCGAAAGCGUGGGGAGCAAACAGGAUUAGAUACCCUGGUAGUCCACGCCGUAAACGAUGAGUGCUAGUUGUCGGCAUGCAUGCAUGUCGGUGACGCAGCUAACGCAUUAAGCACUCCGCCUGGGGAGUACGGUCGCAAGAUUAAA